rnacentral:rRNA from 1 species
GAUGAACGCUAGCUACAGGCUUAACACAUGCAAGUCGAGGGGAAACGGCAUUGAGUGCUUGCACUCUUUGGACGUCGACCGGCGCACGGGUGAGUAACGCGUAUCCAACCUUCCCAUUACUGUGGGAUAACCUGCCGAAAGGCAGACUAAUACCGCAUAGUCUUCGAUGACGGCAUCAGAUUUGAAGUAAAGAUUUAUCGGUAAUGGAUGGGGAUGCGUCUGAUUAGCUUGUUGGCGGGGUAACGGCCCACCAAGGCUACGAUCAGUAGGGGUUCUGAGAGGAAGGUCCCCCACAUUGGAACUGAGACACGGUCCAAACGCCUACGGGAGGCAGCAGUGAGGAAUAUUGGUCAAUGGACGGAAGUCUGAACCAGCCAAGUAGCGUGCAGGAUGACGGCCCUAUGGGUUGUAAACUGCUUUUGUAUGGGGAUAAAGUUAGGGACGUGUCCCUAUUUGCAGGUACCAUACGAAUAAGGACCGGCUAAUUCCGUG